AUGCACUCAAUUUUUCUAAGAAUUGUAUGUGCAAGCACAACCCCCAUGUUUCGCUACGAAGAAAGUGCUAGAUGCCCUGUCCACCAAAACAACGAACCCAAAACACCCGACUGCACGGCACGACAACAUCGAAACGUUGCCACCCAAUGUCAGGGAGGCGUUGCAACGGGAGAAAGAAUAUCCUUGAACCCACAUACAGAGUUGCUUCUCUCUGGUUGCCGCACCUCUUCGAACGCAAAUCAGCAGCGGCCUGCAGUCAUGCUAUUUCAUUCAGAUCUGAACAGAGGGAGUAGAUCAUUGUCGUGUCUUGGUAACCAUCAUGAUGUACAACCUCGGAGAUGUCAGCCAACACCACCAGCGUCCAUUGAAAACCUGCUAUUCCUGAUCCUUCUUCCUUGGACUUCAGUUUGGAAUAUUGACGGCCUAACCAAUCAGAAGCAUUUUAAUUCAUCUCAUCAAUCAUCUUAUGUUCUAGCUCAGAGCGCCCAACCUUUUCAUGUCACUGAUCAGUGGACGGUAGAUAUAUAA
rnacentral:rRNA from 1 species